AGGCUAAAUACUCCUGACUGACCGAUAGUGAACCAGUACCGUGAGGGAAAGGCGAAAAGAACCCCGGCGAGGGGAGUGAAAAAGAACCUGAAACCGUGUACGUACAAGCAGUGGGAGCACCUUCGGGUGUGACUGCGUACCUUUUGUAUAAUGGGUCAGCGACUUAUAUUCUGUAGCAAGGUUAACCGUAUAGGGGAGCCGCAGGGAAACCGAGUCUUAACUGGGCGUUAAGUUGCAGGGUAUAGACCCGAAACCCGGUGAUCUAGCCAUGGGCAGGUUGAAGGUUGGGUAACACUAACUGGAGGACCGAACCGACUAAUGUUGAAAAAUUAGCGGAUGACUUGUGGCUGGGGGUGAAAGGCCAAUCAAACCGGGAGAUAGCUGGUUCUCCCCGAAAGCU
rnacentral:rRNA from 1 species